GAGUUUGAUCCUGGCUCAGAUUGAACGCUGGCGGCAGGCCUAACACAUGCAAGUCGAACGGUAACAGGAAGAAGCUUGCUUCUUUGCUGACGAGUGGCGGACGGGUGAGUAAUGUCUGGGAAACUGCCUGAUGGAGGGGGAUAACUACUGGAAACGGUAGCUAAUACCGCAUAACGUCGCAAGACCAAAGAGGGGGACCUUCGGGCCUCUUGCCAUCGGAUGUGCCCAGAUGGGAUUAGCUAGUAGGUGGGGUAACGGCUCACCUAGGCGACGAUCCCUAGCUGGUCUGAGAGGAUGACCAGCCACACUGGAACUGAGACACGGUCCAGACUCCUACGGGAGGCAGCAGUGGGGAAUAUUGCACAAUGGGCGCAAGCCUGAUGCAGCCAUGCCGCGUGUAUGAAGAAGGCCUUCGGGUUGUAAAGUACUUUCAGCGGGGAGGAAGGGAGUAAAGUUAAUACCUUUGCUCAUUGACGUUACCCGCAGAAGAAGCACCGGCUAACUCCGUGCCAGCAGCCGCGGUAAUACGG
rnacentral:rRNA from 1 species